rnacentral:siRNA from 1 species
AGACACCAUCUUCAUCAGGUCU